rnacentral:rRNA from 1 species
AACGAACGCUGGCGGCAGGCCUAGUACAUGCAAGUCGAACGCCCCGCAAGGGGAGUGGCGCACGGGCGAGUAACGCGUGGGAAUGUGCCCUUAGGUGCGGAACAACGUUUGGAAACGAACGCUAAUACCGCAUAAUAUCUCCGGAUCAAAGAUUUAUCGCCUAGGGAUCAGCCCGCGUUGGAUUAGCUAGUUGGUGGGGUAACGGCCUACCAAGGCGACGAUCCAUAGCUGGUCUGAGAGGAUGAUCAGCCACACUGGGACUGAGACACGGCCCAGACUCCUACGGGAGGCAGCAGUAAGGAAUAUUGGACAAUGGGGGCAACCCUGAUCCAGCCACGCCGCGUGAGUGAUGAAGGCCUUCGGGUUGUAAAGCUCUUUUAGGUGUGACGAUGAUGACGGUAACACCAGAAAAAGCUCCGGCUAACUUCGUGCCAGCCGCCGCGGUAAAAC